AGUUUGAUCAUGGCUCAGGAUGAACGCUGGCGGCGUGCCUAACACAUGCAAGUCGUACGAGCUCGAUCUUCGGAACGGGUUAGUGGCGCACGGGUGAGUAACACGUAGGUGACCUACCCCAGAGUGGGGGAUAACUUCUCGAAAGAGAGGCUAAUACCGCAUACACUCGGUCAUUCAUUUGGCCGAGCAAAGCUCCGGCGCUUUGGGACGGGCCUGCGUCCGAUUAGCUAGUUGGUAGGGUAAUGGCUUACCAAGGCUUUGAUCGGUAGCUGGUCUGAGAGGACGAUCAGCCACACUGGCACUGACACACGGGCCAGACUCCUACGGGAGGCAGCAGUGAGGAAUAUUGGCAAUGGGCGAAAGCCUGACCCAGCAACGCCGCGUGAGGGAUGAAGGCCUUCGGGUUGUAAACCUCUUUUCUGGGAGAAGAGACAAGGACGGUAUCCCAGGAAUAAGUCUCGGCUAACUACGUG
rnacentral:rRNA from 1 species